rnacentral:lncRNA from 1 species
UAAUCUCAUCAUAAAUCCACAAUUCAUUGGAUCUCGACAAACACACAACAAAAGAAAGUUACAUCGGAUAGAUCUCCAUGAAGAUCAUGGAGAACUUUGUAUUGAAGAUCCAAGAGAGAGAACAAGACAUCUAGCUACUAGCUAUGGACCCGAAGGUCUGUGGUGAACUACUCACGCAUCAUCGGAGAGGCAAUGGCCUUGAUGAAGAAGCCCUCCGUUGCCGAAUCCCCCCCGGCAGGGCACCAGAACGGUCCCCAUAUGGGAUCUUGCGGAGACAGAACCUUGCAGCGGCGGAAACGUAUUUUCGUGGCUCUCUCCUUUGGUUUCGG